rnacentral:rRNA from 1 species
UACGUAGGGGGCGAGCGUUGUCCGGAUUUAUUGGGCGUAAAGAGCGUGUAGGCGGCCAGGUAGGUCUGCUGUGAAAACUCGAGGCUCAACCUCGAGACGUCGGCGGAAACCAUCUGGCUAGAGUCCAGAAGAGGAGAGUGGAAUUCCACGUGUAGCGGUGAAAUGCGUAGAGAUGUGGAGGAACACCAGUGGCGAAGGCGGCUCUCUGGUCUGUAACUGACGCUGAGGCACGAUAGCGUGGGGAUCAAACAGG